AGCGAACGCUGGCGGCAGGCCUAACACAUGCAAGUCGAACGAAGUCUUCGGACUUAGUGGCGGACGGGUGAGUAACACGUGGGAACGUGCCUUUAGGUUCGGAAUAACUCAGGGAGACUUGUGCUAAUACCGAAUGUGCCCUUCGGGGGAACGAUUUAUCGCCUUUAGAGCGGCCCGUGUCUGAUUAGCUAGUUGGUGGGGUAAUGGCCCACCAAGGCUACGAUCAGUAGCUGGGCUGAGAGGAUGACCAGCCACAUUGGGACUGAGAAACGGCCCAAAAUCCUACGUGAGUCAACAGUGGGGAAUCUGGCGCAAUGGGCGAAAGCCUGACGCAGCCAUGCCGCGUGGAUUACGAAGGUCUUAGGAUGGUAAAAUCCUUUCACCGGUGAAGAUAAUGACUGUAGCCGGAGAAGAAGCCCCGGCUAACUUCGUGCCAGCCGCCGCCGUAAAAC
rnacentral:rRNA from 1 species